GUCUUGCCUGUAAUUAACUUUUCUGUUAGGUGUCAUAUACAGAAUCCAAGGCCUCAAAGAGAAGUACAUGCCAGACAACCCAAGAGAAAUCAUACCAAGCAUUCAUCUGGGACUUUCCAUUACCUUAUAGCAGCAGAUAAGUUUGUGAGAUAGUCCCUGUGAAAGUUUAUCCUCUUGUCAUCCUGCAAAGCCUUCUCUAAAGUUAUAAUAACCGGUGGAUUGCCAUAAUUAUCUUUCACAUAUCGAGCUAACUUUCGGAUGCCCCAUGGCACAAUGUGUAGCCAGCGAGAAGCUGCCUGAAGGAGGAAGAAAUCAUGAGCAUGCUUUAAUUUGAUGCAGUAAAUAGCGACUAGGCAUCUUACAGGUAGUAAUAACCGCUGCAUCAGAUGAAGCAUCCCGCAAUAUGAAUUUCCUAAUUCGUGUCCUGUCAUUCCGGGCGUAUAAUGUGGUAUAAUGAUUUAUGCCAACAAAAUCCAAGGACCCCAACAGAAACUUGGCUGUUUUUGGUGAGAUCUCUGGUAGUCUCUUUCCCACAAGCCUCUGCAUUGACAGUGGAUAUUCACCGAAGAAAAGUGGAUCAAGGAACCUGAGUCAAUUUUUGGUGUCAUGCACUUCAUAUAUUGGAAUUGAUUUCUUGCUAAUGUCCGUAACUCAAGCUUUAUAUAGCCCACAAGAGAAAUUACCAUCUGAUUCCAAAGUCCAUUGCCCUACGUGCAGCAUCUUUGUCCUCAUCACUAUCAGAUAUUGGUUCAUACCAUUUGGCAUCCAGUGCCAUUCCAAUUAGACCCCCUUGACUUUCCUGAAAGACCCUCAUAAAUGGAAAAUAAAAUUCUUGUCAUUUUCUUUUAAUUGAUAGGAGAACCAGAAUAUCUUAUAAGACAAUCAUAUUCAUGAACAGGAAUACCUUGAAAUGGAGCUGGUAAUUAUGAUAAGCUGCAGCAUGAGACAAGAGGAUGUUGUGAGCUACAAUGUAUGGUUCAGUGGAGGAUUCUCCUGUCUUGCAGAACAAAUGCCCAAGAAUGGAGCACCUCCCAGGAGCUUGAAGACCCGUGUCAUAACCUUGGAGUGCGAAACCGUGGGGCUCAUUAAAGCUCCUUCAAACUACAACAUAUGAUUCCAUGUGUCAUUCCAUUGAAUACAUCAUGAAGAAAUUGAAGUUCAGAAAAAUGAAAAGCAUUACCUGGUAAGCUGAAGAAGCAGUUCCAAAGAUGAACCCAUCUGGGAAAUCAACUCUGCUGAUGGAUUCAGAGUUCAUGAAGAGACAGCUCAUCAAAAACAGGACCAGCAAGACUGCCAUGGUGAGGUUUCUAGACCAUGAACAAUGAGUUUGUUUUAGAUUGCUGUGAGGGAAGUUUUAAACUAAACUGAAAUUGUGUUAUUAUCUUAAA